AAAAAACACAAUGUUCAAAAUCUCUUCUGUUUCUAAUCCCAUCACCCUGUCCAAAUACCAUCAUCUUUAUGCUGGAAUGCUAAUAUAUUUCUGUUGGUUUUCUCUGAGCCCAUUCCUCCAUUCCAGUCCAUUUUCUACCCUGCACCUGCACUUGGAGCAUUUUUUUUUCAUGCCCCACCUCCAUUUUAAAGUGGUUCAAGUUUUUCUUUCUUAAAUAGAUGGAGUUAGUGCUGUGCUCUACUAACUGAUGGUGUGUUUCAUCUCUUGCUCUGCCACAUCAGAUAUGAGGUGGCUACUCCAAAAAUAAUCACACAAGGCAGGAUUUCAUCUAUCCCUAAUAUUCUCAGAAGGUUCAUCAGUGGCAUGAUGACAGAAAAAGUGCUACAAAAGCCAUGUGAAGAAGUACAUGUUUGCUUCCCCUUCUGUCAUGAUUGUAAGUUUCCUGAGGCCUCCAGAGCCAUGCUGAACUAAACCUUGUGAUUACAUUGAGCCUACCUGAAUGAUCCAGGAUAAUCGUCCCAUAUCAAGGAGAGCAAAGUGAAUAGUGUGAUUUGCUUAGAGGACAAUGCUGCUACAAAAACCUGUUCCACUCCAAGGCCAACUGCAGUUUUGAGAUGUUUGAGUUGCUCCCAGUUUUAUGCUACCAUGAAUGAGUUAACACUGAUUGUAGCUGAGACAUCUGCUGCUGUGUUGCUCCUUCAAAGUUGGACCCUGACUGAAACACAACUAAAUUGUCUACCAAUUUUACAAGUGAAUAGACAAAUACAUAAUG
rnacentral:lncRNA from 1 species